UGGAGGUUUAUUUUGUCCAAGACCUUGUGCCCAGGAGGCGAACUCGGCUGGAGGCGAGGUCAGCUGACCGCGAUGCCCCCUGGAGGUGCCGCCGCACAGGGUCCCGCGUGGAUAGUCCUCGGGGAAACGGCCUUUCCACGCGGAUCCUUCUUCAUCUGGGACAUUGACGCUGUCAUGUUGUUUAAUUUCUAUCAUAUCUCACACAGCUAAUCAUUUUAAAUCUGUGAAGUUUCUUCUGAAAAUUAGGACUUUGUAGUUGCCACAAGUUCCACUAGAGGGCGGCAAAGGGCUACAUCUGAGCGAAGCUGCUGGGAGGAAAAACGAUUGAAAAGCCUUUGCUGGGGUUAAGCGGAAUGCGCGGGGCGUCUGCUCCCCGGCUUCCCAACGUAAAAUCGUUGUAACUGCUAGAAGCAUCAGAGAACUUUAAUGGACCAGCAGUGUGAGUUGUGGACCAGCGGUGUGAGCUGUGAAAUGUAACACAAAGCUGUCCCCUGCCAGCCAAAAUAUUUUAGUCAUUGUAGCGGCUUCAGUGGUGGUUCCCAAAGACAUUUUUAUGUCUUAAGCCUGGCACCUGUAAAUGUGGCCUUAUUUGGAAAAAGUUAAGAAUCUCCCGAUGAGAUAUUCUGGUCAUGAGGGUAGGCCCUAAAUUCAGUGACACGUGUUCUUAUGAGAGAAAGGCACAGAGAGAUUUGACACAGAUGGAAGAGAAGUCCAUGAAGAGAGGAGAGUCCAUGUGAAGAUGCAGGCAGAGAUUGGAAUGAUCACAAGGUCGCCAACACCCGGAGCCGCUAGAAGCAGGGAGAGGCAGGGAGGGGUUCUCCCCUGGAGCCUCUGAGGGGGGCACAGCCUGCCGACACCUUGAUUUUGGACUUCUGGCCCUCCACACUGUAGCCACCUAGUUUGUGGUAAUUUGUUUAAACAAUCCUAGAAAACAUACAGCCACCCAACACCGUGCCUUCUCAAAGGGGUUUCCAGGGGGGAGAAUAUUGGUUCUUGGAGGGGAAGGGAGUGUGUGAAAAAGUCUUCGGUGUUACAAUGGUUUGUCGUCCUCCAAAGGACCACAGAACAUAAACAGAUACACAGUAUCCGGGUGGUAUUAAAAUUUUAUUCAAGGGGGCAGGGAGGAAAAGGACAAUUAAGGAAAAAAAUCUAAACAAGUCUCCUCAGGGGAAUGAUCAUUUUUUAAAAGCUGAGAAUCACAGCCCUACACCUGUGCUGCAGACGCAUCCAUGCUUUUAAUGUUUAGGAUGAUAUGAGGAAAAAUUAAGACAUAACGAAAACAAAACGAGAGAAAAGUAAAAAACAGCUGGAACCUAUGAAUUGUUCUGCCCCAGAGAAAGGCAUUUUCAACGACUCCCUCUUCUCGCCCCAUAAAUACAGAAACCGUGUGUGUUGGGCACACAAUUUACAAAUGAGAAAUCGAGCUCACUGCCCCGAAGAGGAUCACAGCCCAGGCCAUGCUUCCAACCCAGCGGGUAAGGGGUGAUGGAAGGAUGGGCAGGACACAGGCGGACUGCACCCCUCCUGGCUGGUGAAAGGCGUUGGUAUUUGGGGCAGACUUCCUGAAACAGGAGCUGGAGUGUAGAGGACAAGAUGGGGUCUGCCAGGAAAAGGAGGGGCAGGGACUGGAGGCAGAGGGAGUAACCCCUUCUGAAAACAGGCGCUUCCUCUGCUCUCUGUCGCAGAUUCUUCAUCCUCUUCAUUUCUGCAGUUCUCACACUGGGACCCACUUCUUGGAGGAGAGCUGGCAGCCAGCCCGGGCUCCUGGGCAGGCCCUUGGAGUGGGCGCAGAUCCUGGGCUUCCCCCAAACACACCUGAAGCAGCCCUUCCAGUCAUGUGGCGACUCUCCAUGAGAGGAAUUCUCGUAAAUGCAGUUUUCUUCAUCUGGUUGAACAGUCAGCCCUCCUUAUUUGAGGUUCCGCAUCUUCUGAUUCAACCAACUGCUGAUGGAAAGGCCCACGAUGGUUGCAUCUGUACUGAACAUGUCCUGUGCCAACAUCGAGCAGAGCCUAAGGGAACCUCGCUCGCAGGGUCCCCAUGGUCCUGCUAAGAUGCCCCCCUGUCCUGGACACCAGUGGUCCCAAGACGACAAACCCUGAGAGAUCCCUGACAGUCACCCUCUUCCUUCUGCUACCAGCGUCCCAACUUUGCUCCAACAUCAACACGGACAGUUCCAGAGGAUGUGCCAUCUGGGUCUAAGCCACUCAUUGCAAUCCUGUAUCCUUUUGACAUUGGGGAUUGGACUAAGGCAGGGUUAGGGUAUGUCAAUCUUUUUUUCAUUGUUGACAUCCUAAGGAACUAUCUUAGCUAUUUUUUUCCCUAAUCAACCCUCUCUGCCCCAUGACAUUUUAAUACCACAGAUAUUCUGAAUAUCUGUUUAUGUAGUGUAUGGAUAUUAUGGUUUGUUUAUAAAUAAAAAGAUUUCUUUGCCCCUGCCAAGAACUUAUUUUUACCCCUUUGGGGGUGAUAUGGUCCCUGCUGAGAAUGCCUGGUGUAAGGGAUUGCAACACUGUUGAUAAUAGCAGACUGGAAAUCACUUAAAUGUCCCUCAGUAAGGACUGGUGAAAUAAACUAUGCCACACCCGAGGCAUAUGACACUAUGUAGCCACACACACACAAAAUGAGGAGUCUCCUAUCUACUCAUAUGGCAAGAUUUCCAAAAUAUAUUAAGUAAAAAAUGCAAGGAACAGAUGUGCCAUUCUCGCAAAAACAGGAAGAAUGGAAAUAUGUAUUUGUAUGUGCCCAAAUUAUCACAGAAAAGAUAUAUGUGGCACUAGUGACACUGGUGACUUAGAGGGAAGACAACUAGGUGACAACAGGAUGGAGAUGGGAGACAAAAC
ensembl:lncRNA